rnacentral:rRNA from 1 species
UACGUAGGCAGCGAGCGUUGUUCGGAGUUACUGGGCGUAAAGAGUGCGUAGGCGGUUUUCUAAGUUUGGUGUGAAAUCUCCCGGCUUAACUGGGAGGGUGCGCCGAAGACUGGAAGGCUUGAGUAUGGGAGAGGUAAGCGGAAUUCCUGGUGUAGCGGUGAAAUGCGUAGAUAUCAGGAGGAACACCGAUGGCGAAGGCAGGUCUCUGGGCAUUAACUGACGCUGAGGAGCGAAAGCAUGGGGAGCGAACAGG